rnacentral:tRNA from 1 species
GGGGUUGUAGCUUAGCAUGGUUUGAGCACCCGGCUGAUAACCGGGAGGUCAUCGGUUCAAAUCCGGUCAACCCCAC